CUUGAACGCUGGCGGCAGGCUUAACACAUGCAAGUCGAGCGGAGAUGAGGUGCUUGCACCUUAUCUUAGCGGCGGACGGGUGAGUAAUGCUUAGGAAUCUGCCUAUUAGUGGGGGACAACAUUCCGAAAGGAAUGCUAAUACCGCAUACGUCCUACGGGAGAAAGCAGGGGAUCUUCGGACCUUGCGCUAAUAGAUGAGCCUAAGUCGGAUUAGCUAGUUGGUGGGGUAAAGGCCUACCAAGGCGACGAUCUGUAGCGGGUCUGAGAGGAUGAUCCGCCACACUGGGACUGAGACACGGCCCAGACUCCUACGGGAGGCAGCAGUGGGGAAUAUUGGACAAUGGGGGGAACCCUGAUCCAGCCAUGCCGCGUGUGUGAAGAAGGCCUUAUGGUUGUAAAGCACUUUAAGCGAGGAGGAGGCUACUGAGACUAAUACUCUUGGAUAGUGGACGUUACUCGCAGAAUAAGCACCGGCUAACUCUGUGCCAGCCGCCGCAGUAAGAC
rnacentral:rRNA from 1 species